rnacentral:SRP_RNA from 1 species
GCCUGCAGUCCCAGCUAUUUGGGAGGCUGAGGUGGGAGGACAGCUUGAGUCCAGGCCUUCUGGGCUGCAGUACGCUAUGCCGAUCAGGUGUCCGCACUAAGUUCGGCAUCAAUAUAGUGACCUCCGGGGAGUGGGAGACCACCAGGUUGUCUAAGGAGAGGUGAACCGGCCCAGGUUGGAAACGGAGCGGGUCAAAACUCGUGUGCUGAUUUUUUCAAGCAUCAUGAGUUUCUUUCUUACUCUGUUGGAGAUUGCUUUUGAUGUGCAAAACUUUUUCAUAAGACAAGAUCCCAGUUAU